rnacentral:rRNA from 1 species
GACGAACCGAGCGAACGUUGUUCGGAAUUACUGGGCGUAAAGCGCACGUAGGCGGACAUUUAAGUCAGGGAUGAAAUCCCAGAGCUCAACUCUGGAACUGCCUUUGAUACUGGGUGUCUUGAGUAUGGAAGAGGUGAGUGGAAUUCCGAGUGUAGAGGUGAAAUUCGUAGAUAUCGGGAGGAACACCAGUGGCGAAGGCGGCGACCUGGGCAGAUACUGACGCUGAGGUGCGAAAGCGUGGGGAGCAAACAGG